rnacentral:rRNA from 1 species
GACGAACCGUGCGAACGUUAUUCGGAAUCACUGGGCUUAAAGCGCGUGUAGGCGGGCCGGCACGUCGGUCGCUGAAAUCCCCCGGCUCAACCGGGGAAGCGGCGCCGAUACGACCGGCCUGGAGGGGCGUAGGGGGAUCGGGAACUUCCGGUGGAGCGGUGAAAUGCGUUGAGAUCGGAAGGAACGCCCGUGGCGAAAGCGCGGUCCUGGACGCCUGCUGACGCUGAGACGCAAAAGCCAGGGGAGCGAACGGG